UUUUUUAGAGCUGUGGUUGAAAGUCGAAGCCAGUCGCAGGCGAAACGAUCCACAUAAGGUAAACUUUGUUUACUGAGCAUGGUGCGGUUUUUGGAGUAAGUCCUGCCUUAACCUUAAUUGGUGAUAAUAAUAAGAGAAGGGUAGUAGUGAGGGAUAAAGUUCCUGAGCAAACCUCUCAGCAGGCGAGUGUGGGGGCAAAGACCAGGUCAGUCUAAAGAA
rnacentral:ncRNA from 12 species